UAAACACAGAGGUGAGAAAGCAAAUAGCAUAACCAACAUAUAAACUAAAAUGUCUUCGCUCAAGUUUGUUUUCCUUCUCUCUUUUUUGGUGAUUAGCUCUUGCAAACUUGCACGUGAAGGUGGAAGCAAGAGGUCCAAUAGUCUCUUUCCGAUGCAAGACUAACGCAAAUUGCAUAACCAAUCCUGAAUGUGGCCCACUACUUUGCCAUGCUCCGUGUACUUGCGUAAAUACCAUUUGUACUUGUCCCGGGAGAGCUUCUUUACAAAAAGCUGCUCUUGGAAAUGGAGUAACAAUGAAUUGAAAUGGAAGAUCAAAUACCUUGGGUGUAAUCCUUUUGAAUAAGAUUUGAAUACACAUUAUAAGGGAUGUGAAAUAUAAAUUUUGUUCUAAAUUGAUUGGGUUCUUAAAUUACUAAAAGUAUAA